rnacentral:rRNA from 1 species
AGCGCGGGGCAACCUGGCGGCGAGUGGCGAACGGGUGAGUAAUACAUCGGAACGUACCCAGAAGUGGGGGAUAACGUAGCGAAAGUUACGCUAAUACCGCAUACGAUCUACGGAUGAAAGUGGGGGACCUUCGGGCCUCAUGCUUUUGGAGCGGCCGAUGUCUGAUUAGCUAGUUGGUGGGGUAAAGGCUCACCAAGGCGACGAUCAGUAGCUGGUCUGAGAGGACGACCAGCCACACUGGAACUGAGACACGGUCCAGACUCCUACGGGAGGCAGCAGUGGGGAAUUUUGGACAAUGGGCGCAAGCCUGAUCCAGCAAUGCCGCGUGAGUGAAGAAGGCCUUCGGGUUGUAAAGCUCUUUUGUCAGGGAAGAAACGGCUGCGGCUAAUAUCCGCGGCUAAUGACGGUACCUGAAGAAUAAGCACCGGCUAACUACGUGCCAGCAGCCGCGGUAAUACGUAGGGUGCAAGCGUUAAUCGGAAUUACUGGGCGUAAAGCGUGCGCAGGCGGUUUUGUAAGUCUGAUGUGAAAUCCCCGGGCUCAACCUGGGAAUUGCAUUGGAGACUGCAAGGCUAGAAUCUGGCAGAGGGGGGUAGAAUUCCACGUGUAGCAGUGAAAUGCGUAGAGAUGUGGAGGAACACCGAUGGCGAAGGCAGCCCCCUGGGUCAAGAUUGACGCUCAUGCACGAAAGCGUGGGGAGCAAACAGGAUUAGAUACCCUGGUAGUCCACGCCCUAAACGAUGUCUACUAGUUGUCGGGUUUUAAUUAACUUGGUAACGCA